rnacentral:lncRNA from 1 species
AUAUAGGGUCAAUUCAGUUUAACAACCCAGUUCCCUAUUUAUACCUAGUAAGUUAAGUUAUCUACUACUCUGCUACCUUUUAUCUUUCUUUUCUAUACAAAAUAAAGCUCUAUUUCCUUUUUGCAACUAAAAGAUGGCUUUCAAGAAUGCUAUUUUGAUUCUUGCAAUUUUAGCCAUGAUUGUUAUAAUCCCUUCCGAGAUUCUGGCUCGGGACUUUCCAGCAAAAGCUUGUCCUCCACCAGCAGGAGAAGGUUUGUAAAUAUUUAUAAAUGGCUUUUAAUUACUUGUUAACUUUAAAUUCUUCUUUUUGAACUAUUUUCAGAACUGUAAAAAAUUAUGUUCCUGACAGUUAAAUUUUUAAAAGGUUUAAGAAUAAUAAUUUAAUAAUAAAUUAAUAAUGCAUGACAACUAUAUCUGAUUUACUCGUAUUGAAAGUUGUUCUUAUAGAAUUAUUAUUGAAUUAGGAUUUGUUUGGAUGAACUUCUAAAAAAAUAUCUUUUUUCGAGUUAUCUUUUUUUAAAAGAUCUUAUGAAAAAGUAAAAGUAAUUUUAUGUUUGGAUAUCUCAUGCAAAAAAAUCUUUUUAUCUAUCAAUUAUGUUUAGGUAUAAAAUAUAAAAGUACUUUUUUGUUUAUUUAUUACAUGAAAAACAUCUUUUUUUAAGGAAAAAAUAUCUUUUAAAAAAAAGAUGUAAAUUACAGCUUCUCAAAAAAAUGUUUUUUUUAUUUUUCUAGUACUUUUACUUUUACUACUAGAAAUUUGCCAAACACGUUAAAAAAUAAAAAAAAAAAUCUUUUUUCAUUGAAAUGAAAAAAGAUCUUUUUUUAUUCAAAUAAUGACGCCUAAACAAGCACUUAGUCUUAAAUCAUUUCAAAAAUUAGCCAUCAAAAAUAUAUUUUAUACAAAUCAAAAAUUUUCGUAACAAAAUUAAAAUGAAUAAAAAUAUUGUUAAAAUUUUAACAAAUUUUAAGGAUAAAAAAUAUACUUUAUCCUUCGGUUAAAAAAAUGUCAUUGUGUUCGUGCAGCUAAUACAAUAGAAGAUAUAAAUCAAAUUGGUGGAGCAGAUGGGUUAGGAAGGCGUGUUACUGUCUUGCAGGGUGGAAACAACCCGGACUGUCGCAAUCUUUGUUGUUUUAUGGGACACAAUGUAUGUUGCUAAUGACAUACAACUGAAAGAUGUAAAUUUAAUAAUUUAUUACAUCUGUCUAAGUUAAAUAUUGUAAAAAUUAUGUAAGAAAAAAGAAAUAAAAUAAUGUAUACCAUAUGCUAGACUUUAAUUUGGUAUACCAUAGAUUGAAUAAUAAUCAAUAGCUAUGUGCGUGGCUGGCUAAAAUUAUGUAAUUAGACCUAUCAAAAUUAUAUAAAUAUUAUUUUUUCUUUUAUCUAAUUUGUUUAA